CGCAGCUUAUAGCAAUAUUCCAGGAUCAUCACAGCGGGAGACACCAGAAAUUGCCUUCACACACUGUACCCAUGAGGGGAAUCGAACCUGGUCCUUCGGUGUGACAAACGGACGCUGUAACCACAAGGCAACCC